GACAGCAUGGUGUAGUGGUUUGAGUGUUGGGCUAUGAAUCCAGGGUUCUGGAAUCCAGGGUUCAAAUCCCAGCUCAGCCG